CUACGGGGCGCACCAGUGGGGAAUAUUGCACAAUGGGCGCAAGCCUGAUGCACCCAUGCCGCGUGUAUGAAGAAGGCCUUCGGGUUGUUAAAUACUUUCAGCGGGGAGGAAGGGAGUAAAGUUAAUACCUUUGCUCAUUGACGUUACCCGCAGAAGAAGCACCGGCUAACUCCGUGCCAGCAGCCGCGGUAAUACGGAGGGAGCAAGCGUUAAUCGGAAUUACUGGGCGUAAAGCGCACGCAGGCGGUUUGUUAAGUCAGAUGUGAAAUCCCCGGGCUCAACCUGGGAACUGCAUCUGAUACUGGCAAGCUCGAGUCUCGUAGAGGGGGGUAGAAUUCCAGGUGUAGCGGUGAAAUGCGUAGAGAUCUGGAGGAAUACCGGUGGCGAAGGCGGCCCCCUGGACGAAGACUGACACUCAGGUGCGAAAGCGUGGGGAGCAAACAGGAUUAGAUACCCCGGUAGUC
rnacentral:rRNA from 1 species